rnacentral:rRNA from 1 species
GAUGAACGCUGGCGGCGUGCCUAAUACAUGCAAGUCGAGCGAACGGACGAGAAGCUUGCUUUUCUGAUGUUAGCGGCGGACGGGUGAGUAACACGUGGAUAACCUACCUAUAAGACUGGGAUAACUUCGGGAAACCGGAGCUAAUACCGGAUAAUAUUUUGAACCGCAUGGUUCAAAAGUGAAAGACGGUCUUGCUGUCACUUAUAGAUGGAUCCGCGCUGCAUUAGCUAGUUGGUAAGGUAACGGCUUACCAAGGCAACGAUGCAUAGCCGACCUGAGAGGGUGAUCGGCCACACUGGAACUGAGACACGGUCCAGACUCCUACGGGAGGCAGCAGCAGGAAAUCUUCCGCAAUGGGCGAAAGCCUGACGGAGCAACGCCGCGUGAGUGAUGAAGGUCUUCGGAUCGUAAAACUCUGUUAUUAGGGAAGAACAUAUGUGUAAGUAACUGUGCACAUCUUGACGGUACCUAAUCAGAAAGCCACGGCUAACUACGUG